rnacentral:rRNA from 1 species
GUGGGGAAUAUUGGACAAUGGGCGCAAGCCUGAUCCAGCCAUGCCGCGUGUGUGAAGAAGGCCUUCGGGUUGUAAAGCACUUUUGUUGGGGAAGAAAACCUGUUGGUUAAUACCCGAUGGGAAUGACGGUACCCAAAGAAUAAGCACCGGCUAACUUCGUGCCAGCAGCCGCGGUAAUACGAAGGGUGCAAGCGUUACUCGGAAUUACUGGGCGUAAAGCGUGCGUAGGUGGUGGUUUAAGUCCGUUGUGAAAGCCCUGGGCUCAACCUGGGAAUUGCAGUGGAUACUGGAUCACUAGAGUGUGGUAGAGGGAUGCGGAAUUUCUGGUGUAGCAGUGAAAUGCGUAGAGAUCAGAAGGAACAUCCGUGGCGAAGGCGGCAUCCUGGGCCAACACUGACACUGAGGCACGAAAGCGUGGGGAGCAAACAGGAUUAGAUACCCCUGUAGUCC